GAUCAAGCGACUAAGUGCAUACGGUGGAUGCCUUGGCGACUACAGGCGAUGAAGGACGUUGUAGCCUGCGAUAAGCUGCGGUGAGCUGGCAAACAAGCUUUGACCCGCAGAUUUCCGAAUGGGGAAACCCACCCGCAAGGGUAUCUUUGACUGAAUACAUAGGUCAUUGAAGCGAACCGGGCGAACUGAAACAUCUCAGUAACUCGAGGAAAAGAAAUCAACCGAGAUUCCGAUAGUAGUGGCGAGCGAAAUCGGAACAGCCUGCAUAAUUUAGCAUUUGGUAUAGCAAAACGACAUGGAAAGGUCGGCCACAGAAGGUGAUAGCCCUGUAUGUAAAAUGCCUUAUGUAGAACUAAGUAUGCGAAAAGUAGGGCGGGACACGUGUAAUCCUGUCUGAACAUGGGGGGACCAUCCUCCAAGGCUAAAUACUCGUAGUCGACCGAUAGUGAACAAGUACCGUGAGGGAAAGGUGAAAAGAACCCCGGGAGGGGAGUGAAAUAGAUCCUGAAACCGU
rnacentral:rRNA from 1 species